CAUUUGUGACGAACUAGGAAUGUUCUUAAUGUUUCUCUGAAUACUGUGUUGGUGCCUCAGUGUCCCCAUGGCAGUUCUUAAGUAUCUGGCAGAGCAAAGGGACAGUGCACCUAAAUGCCUGGCGCUCUGUCUCCUAGCAACUGAUGGCCUGGGCCCCCCCUCUGCAAAGGUGCCAGCUGAAAGUGUUGGAGACAAAGGGAUCAGGUGACCUCCUGGCCCGGGAAAGGAGCUGAGCAGAGAGGAGGGGCUGGGAGGGGUUGUUAGUCUGGAGCUGGCUGAGGGCAGACGUGGGGGUCUGGCUCACUGCCCCCCAGAAUGGACCCAGCCGAGGGGUCCGGUUCGCUGUACCUACAAGCUCUGUUUUAGACCCUGUUCCUGUCUUCGAAUAAACCUCUGUUUUACUGG